CGCAUCUGUGCAUGCAGCAUAUCAAUAAGCGGAGGAAAAGAAACUAACAAGGAUUCCCCUAGUAACGGCGAGUGAAGCGGGAAGAGCUUCAAAUUUGAAAUCUUAAAGGGUUUCCCUUUACGAAUUGUAGUUUAAAGAAGUGUUUUCUGUUGAGGUUUUGGUAAAAGUUCUUUGGAAUAGGACAUCAUAGAGGGUGAGAAUCCCGUAUUUGACCUUUACUUUCAACUUUGUGAUACACUUUCAAAGAGUCGGAUUGUUUGGGAAUGCAGUCCAAAAUGGGUGGUAAAUUUCAUCUAAAGCUAAAUAUUGGCGAGAGACCGAUAGCGAACAAGUACCGUGAGGGAAAGAUGAAAAGGACUUUGAAAAGAGAGUUAAACAGUACGUGAAAUUGUCAAAAGGGAAGCGUUUGACACCAGUGUUGUUUUUCUGAAAAUCAAUUAAAGAACUGUUUAUGCUAAGCUGUUUAGACUUUAUCAGCUAAUCUGUUUAGUUUUGAGCUUUUCUUUAAUGCACUUUUCAGUUAACAAGUCAACAUCAAUUUCUUUUGCUGUAAAAAAGCUUGAGGAAGGUGGCUUGAGAUUCGUCUUAAGUGUUUAUAGCCUCUUGCCUAUGCAGUCGGAGAGAUUGAGGUCUGCAGCGUAGAUCCUUCGGGGCUAAAUGCAUUUGUGCUAAGUUAUAGCAUUUUAUAGACAACUUGUUGACUAUGAUUUGUCUUGUAGCUUACUCGCUUAUGUUAUUUUACCUACGCUUAGGAUGUUGAACGCGCACAGAGUCUC
rnacentral:rRNA from 1 species